rnacentral:sRNA from 1 species
CCAUUGUUUUUCACAGCAAAGGAACCAAGCAGAGUGACAGGUCUCUUGUGGCUCAGAGCAUAAUUUGGCAAUAAUUGGUGGAGUGUGUUACUCUUGGGGCUGGAAUGAGCAUGGCAUGUGCGGAGAUGGCACUGAAGCCAACGUCUGGGCCCCAAAGCCGGUGCAGGCUCUGCUGUCAUCGUCAGGACUCCUUGUGGGCUGUGGGGCUGGCCACUCCUUGGCCCUCUGCCAGCUGCCAGCUCACCCUGCAUUGGUCCAGGACUCCAGGGUCACCUACCUUUCCCCAGAUGCCAUCGAGGACACUGAAUCUCAGGAAGCCAUGGACAAAGAGAGAAACUGGGAGGAAAGACAAUCAGAAACUUCAACCCAAAGCCAAUCUGACUGGUCCAGAAAUGGGGGACUGUGAUAGAGAAUCUUUAAUAAAAUGGCUUUUCCCACC